AUAAGUAUACAAUAUAUUCAAGAUCCAUAGUUUGUUUACUGCAAAUUAGUCCAUGGACAACGCAUUGCAGCUAGUUUCAUUGAUGCUAGAUGACCAAGGCAGAUCUUUCAACGAAUAUAUAUAGAUAAAGUGGGAUCGUCUCACCCCAAGCCAAGCAGAACAUGAGUAUGGUGGCGCAGACGAGCAUGCCGACCACGAGGUAGCUCCACGGCCCGUACGGCUUCAGCGCCGCCGCGAACUCCAUGAACGCGUUCGACGACUUCUCGCCUUCACUGAUCUUCACUGGAAGUGCAAACAACAAGAACUCACUGAUGACUGAAGGCUUGGUCAUGCCGUCGGGCUGGUCGAGUCCCAGCAGCUCCUGGUUCCUGGCGGCG